rnacentral:rRNA from 1 species
AUGCCAGUACAAUUGCCUAUUUUUGUUUACAUCCAUGGGGCAAAAAUUGACCGGUUUGUUAAUGAUGACGGAGGUCCAAUUUUUUUAAAAAUAAAUGGUCAGGUUUGUCAUCGUAUAGGCUCGUUGCUUCCAAAUGAAGGUGAUACACCCAAGUAUGCAGAGUUAUACAUACAUGACAGAUAAAAUGAGGUUAACCACAGAAUUCAGGCCCUAAAUCACCAUGAUGAAACAUGCACUGGGUUAGAUAAGGACACUGUGAGGGGUCUUAUGCAAAUGCUUGAUACAAAUAAUUCUUUAGUCAAAAAAUUUCGUAUGGCUGCAGAGAUAUUGAAACAAAAUAAACAUGAGGUGAUCUCAAUAAGGCUUAUAGCUCCUGGCGAGAAUGAUAGCCCUCAGUUUAGUUUACCGGCGACAGAUGAGCUGGCAGCUUUGGUUUAUGUCAAGUUCACAUUAGAGGCACCGUGUCGAGAUCUGAUAACAUGGACUAAAGGCAACAAGCUGCACCAUAUUUCUUCUUUAGGUACUAAUUACAUGUCCUUGCAAUACCCUUUGCUGUUUCAAUAUGGUGAGCGUGGUUUUCAGCUGAGUGUGCACUACAUCGGUGCUGAUAUUGAUUACCCGAACAAGAGGGUGAAAAUGACCAUGUAAGAUUAUUAUUGCUUUUGUUCACAUUAUAAACCAAACCAACACAAUCCAUAUCUUUGCUGUGGCCUGUUAUCAUCACAGGCUGCUGUUGACUUCCGUGCUUGCAUUGAUGAGUGUCGUCUUAAUUUUAUUCUUAAGUGUAACGAUGAAAUGCGGGUUGAAAAUAUUUAG